AACGUAGGAGACAAACGUUAUCCGGAGUUACUGGGCGUAAAGGGCGUGUAGGCGGUUUGUUAAGUCUGGCGUGAAAGCUCUCGGCUAAACCGGGAGAGGUCGUUGGAUACUGGCAAACUAGAGGACGGUAGAGGCGUGUGGAAUUCCGGGUGUAGUGGUGAAAUGCGCAGAGAUCCGGAGGAACACCAGUGGCGAAGGCGACACGCUGGGCCGUACCUGACGCUAAAGCGCGACAGCAUGGGGAGCAAACGGG
rnacentral:rRNA from 1 species